GGUUUCGUAGCUUGGAGGAAAAAGAAGCGCCUGUCUGGCAAAUAGGGAGUUGUGGGUUCGAUACCCAUCGGAGCGU
rnacentral:tRNA from 1 species